AGUUCUAUUAGAAAUCCCGCCAGGGCCAGGAGAAGCAACACUUUUUUUGGCAACGUUGUUUAAGCCAAUGGUUUUCUUGAAAGGGAAGCAAUAUUUAAAAUGUCAUUCUUGUCUCAGCUGCUGUAUGGUACUGAUGGCUGUUCCUUCAUCCUACAAAAACCUGAUGUCAUUCUCACGUGGCGAUUUAAGUACAGGGCCACUGACUCCAUAGCUGUAUGUGACUAACAUAAGUUGGGCAGCAAGCCGCUGGGAUGAAACCAUGAGUUAGUCAAGUCUGGUUGUUGAUGGCGGCUGCAUCGCUUGGUUUAUGCCGUUCGCUAGUUGGCAAUUUCGAAGGAAACUACGCGGCCGAGUGUGGAUCGGCGUGCCGUGUAUGGAUUGGGCGGUUAAGUAUCGCAGAACUCUACAAGCAGUAUCCGCCGACCUGGGUUUCAGUAGACGUUUCCGUGUUCUUUUGAGUUGAUUCAUCGGCAGUGGUGGCUAUCAACGGUUCAAAGGCGGGCUGUCCGGUGUUUAUUUAAAAUCAGGGCAUCAUUGCGCUUACUGGCAGGAACAUAAGGAUGAAUGCUUCGGAAUCCUGGCCAUCUGAAGUUGGGGGACUAAGAUGUGGAACAUACAUGGUUAGCUGAAUUAAAGGCGACAUUGGUGUAACACGCGUUUUGGGUAUUAGGUUUCGGACAGGUUUAACAGGUAUUUUGAGCAAACUGGCUGCAGUAUUUGUCCCAUCUGAAAUGGAAAGUUGAUUGUUUCCACAGAUAUUAGUUUCGGUGUGCCGGAAAAUUUGGAGUAAGAACAGAAACAAGAUGUUUGGCAAGAUUUUAUUUGAGUAAUUUGAUUUCAUGUCUGUCAAAUUGUCAAAUGUUCAAAUUCGAGAUUAACUUUAGCGUUUGUUGUACAGGUAUUAUGAUGUAAACCAAUACAAAUGCUUAAAUGUG
rnacentral:lncRNA from 1 species